rnacentral:tRNA from 1 species
CCGACCUUAGCUCAGUUGGAAGAGCGCAAGACUGUAAUGGAUGCCCGUGACAUCUUGAUGUCGCCUGUUCGAGCCAGGCAGGUCGGA